rnacentral:rRNA from 1 species
GUUUYUGACCUAUCAGCUUUAGACGGUAGGGUAUUGGCCUACCGUGGCUAUGACGGGUAACGGGGAAUUAGGGUUCGAUUCCGGAGAGGGAGCCUGAGAAACGGCUACCACAUCUAAGGAAGGCAGCAGGCGCGCAAAUUACCCAAUCCUAAUACAGGGAGGUAGUGACAAGAAAUAACAAUACAGGACUUUACGGUUUUGUAAUUGGAAUGAGUUAAGUAUAAACCCCUUUACAAGUAUCAAUUGGAGGGCAAGUCUGGUGCCAGCAGCCGCGGUAAUUCCAGCUCCAAUAGCGUAUAUUAAAGUUGUUGCAGUUAAAAAGCUCGUAGUUGGAUUUCUGUUAAUACCUUAUAUAUAAUAUUUUUUUUUAAAUAUUAUUAAGUAAAAUUAACAUAAUUUAUAUUUUUUAAGACUGAAUUUUUAGUUUUGAUAAUAUGAAAUUUUACUUUGAGAAAAUUAGAGUGCUUAAAGCAGGCUUUUGCCUUGAAUACUCCAGCAUGGAAUAAUAAUAAAAGAUUUUUAUCUUUUUUUUAUUGGUUCUAAAAUAAAAAUAAUGAUUAAUAGGGACAGUUGGGGGCAUUUGUAUUUAACAGUCAGAGGUGAUAUUCUUAGAUUUGUUAAAGACAAACUAAUGCGAAAGCAUUUGCCAAGGAUGUUUUCAUUAAUCAAGAACGAAAG